ensembl:lincRNA
UUUUAAAGUUGUUGAACGAAACCGGGUUUUCGACAUUUUGCCGCUGAUAACCUGUCACUCGAACCACAUCGUGUUGGUCAUUUUUAUAACUUGGUCAAACAUUAUCACAUUGUCUCAUCCUUGACUUCUGAAACAAUCCACAUCGUCAAAUACCGCUCGUGAACCAUCGUCGUCUCCAGACUUGUUGUGUUUAAAAUUUUGUGAAAGCGUGUGUGUUUGUGUGGGUGUCAGAAGGUAUGGAGGACAAAAGCGAGUGGAUUAGACUCUCGGUGGUGGUAUUGUGGUCAGAGGUAAUGUGUUCUUCGGACUGAAUUGCUUUGAAUUCCACUCUACCCUCUACCCUUUAAUGGAAGGCAUUUGUUUUGAUCUCUUUGAGCUUUUUCUCUGCUUUGCUUCAAGUCUAACUCGUUGGCCUUGUUUGAAACCCUUAAUCUAUUUGUCUCAUUUCCUGUUCCAUGAUCCUCAGGUGUAUUUUUGAAGAGGUGAAUUGUGGUGACACUAGUGGUUUUGUAUAAACUACCUUUGUGGUAUAAUUGAGAAGUUGUUCUGCACACGUUUGGCUGAAAAACGGAUUUGUUUUUGUUUGGGAACAAAGAAUGUUUUGGUCUCUCUCCUAAUCCCCCCCACCCCCUUGACUGUUUACAUGAGUACAUGGUGCUGUGGGUCGAUCUGCUUCGUUGUGCAGGGUCUGAGAGGUCCAUUAUUGAAGCCAAUAUCCCAUGCGUGACAAACCCUGCCAGUGAUUUGAUUUGGCGUCAUGUCGGCGCUGCCAGUCCCUGGGAUUACCUCACACGGAGGACGUUUGGGACUGUGAACACUUGGGUAUCGAUGGUUGAAAUGUUGAGCAGUAUUCUGGCACAGGACACCAUGAACCCGUCAUCUUCAACUGCCCAAAUGAACGGCUCAAUGAGCAGCACCUCAUCCAUCUUCCCAACAAGUGAUGACGCUCAAACCGUUUCAACUCGAGUCACCACCGUUGAUGAAUCGAGUCCGAGCACCGUUGAGUGGAACUCGAGCACGAGUCUGGGAAGCGCCAGCACUCCAGAAAUGAAUACCAAUGGCACCACCUCGGGUCUAGCCCCAACUUCUGUGACGACCUUCUUGGCUAGUACGUCUAAGAAUAUGUCAGGCACUGCCACAGCGGAAGGGCCAGUUUAUGACACGAGCAGUACCACUUCCCAGCAGGGUGCAUUGAGCUCCAGUUCUUCAGAGAUCGCACGGAGCACGGGAUUCAGCACGUCAGUUGGUACUUUGAUUUCUGCUUCGACUCAGUUGCACACGACAGGAACAGAGCAAGCAUUGAAGCCUGAGCCACCAGGUACCCUCUCAGCUGGCGCGGUUUCUGUGAUCAUCGCUUUCUGCGUGCUGGGCCUCAUCGUGUUGCUUGGAGCAGCAGUGUAUUACAUCCGCAGCAAACGUGGGCCAGAGUUUGAGCGCCUGCAAGAUGACGUACCCAUGACUGCCGUAAAGGGACAUGUCCAAGAGGGAAUGCCAUUUGCCCAUUUGGAGAAGUGAUUUAACCCCUUGCUGCCUUAAAGCUUGAGUGAUGGCCGUUAAACGUUGAGAUAACCCUUUACCGAGCGAGCCCUAAGCAUUCUCUGCCUUUUGAGAGACCCAAAUGACUUCACUGAAUUGUUGCCUUUGAGGUUGAACCUGAGCUGCUUGUAUUAUUGUUGUGAUUUUUUCUGGGCAAAGAGGAUUUAUUUUGUUUGUUUGUUAUAAUUCUGAGACAUUAACUCUUUUUGAUGUACAUAUGUUGAUCCUUAUCCUUGAGCCCCCUGUUUAUUUGUACUUGCACAGCAAAUUGUGCAACUCGUCCUGUGUGGAAGCGCAGUUGCAGGCCUACAAUAAAAUGCUGAACUAGUUGAAG